rnacentral:rRNA from 1 species
GACGUAGGGGACGAGCGUUGUUCGGAAUCACUGGGCGUAAAGGGCGCGUAGGCGGCUUGAUAAGUCGGGGGUGAAAGCCUGUGGCUCAACCACAGAAUUGCCUUCGAUACUGUCGAGCUUGAGACCGGAAGAGGUAAGUGGAACUGCGAGUGUAGAGGUGAAAUUCGUAGAUAUUCGCAAGAACACCAGUGGCGAAGGCGGCUCACUGGCCCGGUACUGACGCUGAGGUGCGAAAGCGUGGGGAGCAAACAGGG